rnacentral:rRNA from 1 species
AUUGAACGCUGGCGGAAUGCUUUACACAUGCAAGUCGAACGGUAGAGGGGGCAACCCCUUGAGAGUGGCGAACGGGUGAGUAAUACAUCGGAACGUGCCCAGUCGUGGGGGAUAACGUAGCGAAAGCUACGCUAAUACCGCAUACGAUCUGAGGAUGAAAGCGGGGGACCUUCGGGCCUCGCGCGAUUGGAGCGGCCGAUGGCAGAUUAGGUAGUUGGUGAGGUAAAGGCUCACCAAGCCGACGAUCUGUAGCUGGUCUGAGAGGAUGAUCAGCCACACUGGGACUGAGAUACGGCCCAGACUCCUACGGGAGGCAGCAGUGGGGAAUUUUGGACAAUGGGCGCAGGCCUGAUCCAGCCAUUCCGCGGGCAGGAUGAAGGCCUUCGGGUUGUAAACUGCUUUUGUACGGAACGAAAAGGCUCUGGUUAAUACCCGGGGCUCAUGACGGUACCGUAAGAAUAAGCACCGGCUAACUACGUGCCAGCCGCCGCCGUAA